UUUCCUCGAUCGUCAUUUGUUUCAAAUUAUCGCGUCUGUUUGUGUUUAUCGUGUUUUUUGUUCAAAUUGAAGGAAAAUUGGUGAAAAAAGUGUUGAAUUACGUAACUUAAUUAAGUUCAAUUUAUAAAUUGUGGUAGGAAACACCGGUUUUUUUCAAAAAUUUGUAAAUCAUGUGUGAAUACUGAAUUUGGAAAAAUGAUGUUACUUAGUGUUAAGUGUAAUUUUUACAUAAUUUGGUGAUUCCAGUGACAAAGUAAGAAACCGCCGGCAAAAACGUUCACUCCAUUUGGAUUCAAUUGGCCAUGAAUCAGGACGAUAAAGCAGCUUUAUGGAUUACGACGCCCUCCAGAAGCCGUGAUAUGGGUGUCGGAGGCCCUCAGCUUCGGUAAAUAUGUUUGAGGUCGUAAAUUCGGCCGCCACUUUUGACAUUUCACGUCGUUCUUUAACCGCAAAAUGCGACACGGUUUUGUCGCAGAGAUUAAUACGUGAAAGGGUUUACGAAGGGAUUUUCGGGACGUGGUGCCAUCGUAAAACGCACGACAGAUAAAAUCAAAAAUUGAUUUCUGAUCAAUUUUUUUUCACGGUAAAAUGGCAAAUGAUCCGAGGAAAUUGCUCACCUUUUAUAAUGUUGUUUAGAAGUUUCCACCGUGACUGAAUUAACGAACGUUCUGCACCAUUUUCGAUGAAUUAAGCGAGUUUAGAGAAAAGGUUACUUUCGCAAAUUAUUAGGCGAGUUGGAGUGACACGUGACUGAAAAGUUUUAAUUUUUUUGUAAUGGUUGCAAACUUUUCGAGGAAUUUUCAUUCACUCGCUAAUUACAUUAAAGUUGGUUUAACUAAUUUUAGUAGAGAAUUUCCGAUAAACGUCCAACAAAAUUUGACACUUAUUAUCUGGACUUUUGGUUUGUUGCCAUAGAUUGCUGUAUUGGCGUAAAAAAUGCAAGUUCUUUUGUUACCUGAAUUAAAUUUGUCGUAAGCAAAUUUUGUCUUGAUAAAAAUAUGAAAUAAUUUAAUGUGAUUCAUAAAAGGGCCAUAAAUAUUGCUUCGGACAGCUUUUGAUAUAUCAAACAGCGCGUCCUCCCUUGAUAUAUACGUUUCUGCGAGUUUUUUUCUCGUAUAAUAAAUUAUUGCGUUGUGGUUCGAACGUCCCGCUAAAAAUACAAGUUCCAAAAAGUAAUUCGUUAAACGAAUGUUGUUCUUUAAUCGCGCCGAUAAAAUUAGUCGCUAAUCUUGGCAUUUUGUCGAGCCAACAACAUAUAGGACCUGCCUUCGUGCUUUAUGAUGGUCAAUUUUUAUC